rnacentral:rRNA from 1 species
UACAGAGGGGGCAAGCGUUAUUCGGAAUUAUUGGGCGUAAAGGGCGCGUAGGCGGCUUGGCAAGUGGAAGGUGAAAUCCCUCGGCUUAACCGAGGAACUGCCCUCCAAACUGCUUCGCUUGAGACCGGGAGAGGUGAGUGGAAUUCCCAGUGUAGCGGUGAAAUGCGUAGAUAUUGGGAGGAACACCAGUGGCGAAGGCGGCUCACUGGACCGGUACUGACGCUGAUGCGCGAAAGCGUGGGUAGCAAACAGG